UAUACUGCAAGUCGAACGAACUCUGGUAUUGAUUGGUGCUUGCAUCAUGAUUUACAUUUGAGUGAGUGGCGAACUGGUGAGUAACACGUGGGAAACCUGCCCAGAAGCGGGGGAUAACACCUGGAAACAGAUGCUAAUACCGCAUAACAACUUGGACCGCAUGGUCCAAGUUUGAAAGAUGGCUUCGGCUAUCACUUUUGGAUGGUCCCGCGGCGUAUUAGCUAGAUGGUGGGGUAACGGCUCACCAUGGCAAUGAUACGUAGCCGACCUGAGAGGGUAAUCGGCCACAUUGGGACUGAGACACGGCCCAAACUCCUACGGGAGGCAGCAGUAGGGAAUCUUCCACAAUGGACGAAAGUCUGAUGGAGCAACGCCGCGUGAGUGAAGAAGGGUUUCGGCUCGUAAAACUCUGUUGUUAAAGAAGAACAUAUCUGAGAGUAACUGUUCAGGUAUUGACGGUAUUUAACCAGAAAGCCACGGCUAACUACGUGCCAGCAGCCGCGGUAAUACGUAGGUGGCAAGCGUUGUCCGGAUUUAUUGGGCGUAAAGCGAGCGCAGGCGGUUUUUUAAGUCUGAUGUGAAAGCC
rnacentral:rRNA from 1 species